rnacentral:rRNA from 1 species
AGGCACUGCCUGCCCAGUGACAUAUGUUCAACGGCCGCGGUACCCUGACCGUGCAAAGGUAGCAUAAUCACUUGUUCUCUAAAUAGGGACUUGAAUGAAUGGCCACACGAGGGUUUAACUGUCUCUUACUUUUAAUCAGUGAAAUUGACCUAUCCGUGAAGAGGCGGGUAUACUAAAAUAAGACGAGAAGACCCUAUGGAGCUUCAAUUAAAUAGUACAAACUAAUACCUCCAAAACCCACCAGGUGAUAACCUACCGUUAAUGUACUAUAAAUUUUGGUUGGGGCGACCUCGGAGCACAACACAACCUCCGAAAANCAUAUUCUAAGACCUCACUAGUCUAAGUAANNGCAUACACUCAUUGACCCAAUANNNANCUUGAUCAACGGACUAAGUUACCCUAGGGAUAACAGCGCAAUCCUAUUUUAGAGUCCAUAUCGACAAUAGGGUUUACGACCUCGAUGUUGGAUCAAGACAUCCUAAUGGUGCAGAAGCUAUUAAGGGUUCGUUUGUUCAACGAUUAAAGUCUUAC